ensembl:lncRNA
GUGCAAAUGGUCUCUGUCCAGCUACAGGAUGUCAGUUACAGGAUUAUGGUCAGCCACGCUAGCACACUCAAAGCAGUGACCCAACCCCAUGAUUGAGGCAAAGCCUUUGAUGUGCUAUCCCUUGAAAUUCUCUCAAAGAUUGCAGCCGGCUACUUGGACGGGUACAUUGCUUGCUAGAUGAAGAAGUAGCUGAACCGGCUGGCCUAAUGAGUGCUGCUCCAUUGUGUUAAAAGCAGCUGGUAUGCCAUCCUGAGUGCUCUUCAGGCCUGUUCUGUCCAAUAUCUUCAUUGAAGACCUGCCUGAGGGCAUGGAGUGCACCUUUGGUAAGUUUGCUGAGGGCAUUGCAUCAGAUUAGCACUAUGUUUGGAGUUCAGAGCUCAUUAGGGUUGGGGUGAAGGUAUUGGGGUUAGCUUUAUUAGGGUUAUGCUCAAAGGGACUGUUAGGGAAGGCCAAGGCAAAGGCAACAACACCCAAGGAAACACCAAAACCGAGGGCAAAGGCAGAGACAACACCCAAGGGAAGGCAACGUCAAAGGCACAGGGAAAGCAAAGGUAUGGAGAACACCAAAGAAAAGACCUCCUUUUGGGCAGGCCCAAAGAGAGGGCCUCAGAGAACAAAACAGAGACCAAAGAGAACACCGUGGCAAGGCCAAAAUGGAGGGCGAGGUCCAUGAGAACGCUGCAGGGAAGGCCGAUGCAGGAGGCCAAUAGCAAUGGCCAAAGAGAAUGCAGCACAGAAGGCCAAAACCAAAGACCGAAGAGAACACAGUAGGGAAUGCCAAAACAAGAAGGCCAAAGGCAAAGGCCAAACAGAACGCAACAAGGAAUGCCAAAACCAAAGGCCAAAGAGAUUGUCGCAGAGAAUGCCAGGAGGCUGAAAGGAACACGGCAAAGAAGGCCAAGGGCAAAGGUCAAAGAGAACAUGGAAGGCAACGCCAAAGAGAAUGUGGCAAAGAAGGCCAAGCGCAAUGACCAGGAGAACGUGGCAUGGAUGGCAAAAACCUAAGGCCAAAUAGAACACUGCAUGGAACACCAGAAGUAAUGGCCAAAGAGAACGCUGCAGGGAACGCCAAAACCUGAGGCCAAAAAGAAUGCCGCAAAGAAGGUCAAGGGCAAUGGCCAAGAGAACAUGACAUGGAAUGCAAAAACAGGAGGGCAAGAGAAUGCAGUAGGGAACGCCAAGGGCAAAGGGAAGGAAAAGGAAGGAGAACACCACGGUGAAAGGCCAGAGCCAAGGAGAACGUGCAAAGAAUAGGACGGGCAGCCUUCGGGGCACCCUGAAGUGCAGAAAGGAGCUCUGGGAACUCCACCUUGUGUCUCACUGAGUAAGCGGUAAACACUGGUGGGUGUGCAUUGUCCUUAC